rnacentral:rRNA from 1 species
UAAGUCCCUUGGCACAGGGUGUCACAGAGGGUGAGAAUCCCGUAUGUGCCCGGCGACCAACCCCAUGUGAAACCCCUUCGACGAGUCGAGUUGUUUGGGAAUGCAGCUCAAAAUGGGUGGUAAAUUUCAUCUAAAGCUAAAUACCGGCCAGAGACCGAUAGCGCACAAGUAGAGUGAUCGAAAGAUGAAAAGCACUUUGGAAAGAGAGUCAAACAGUACGUGAAAUUGUUGAAAGGGAAGCGCUUGCAACCAGACCUGUCCGCGGGCGUUCCACCUCCGUUCUCGGGGGCCCACUCGCCCGUGAUCAGGCCAGCAUCGGUUCGGGCGGCCGGAUAAAGGCCUUGGGAAUGUAGCUCCCCUCGGGGAGAACUUAUAGCCCUCGGUGCAAUGCGGCCAGCCCGGACCGAGGACCGCGCUCGGC